AACGCGAAGAACCUUACCUGGGUUUGACAUGCACAGGACGACUGCAGAGAUGUGGUUUCCCUUGUGGCCUGUGUGCAGGUGGUGCAUGGCUGUCGUCAGCUCGUGUCGUGAGAUGUUGGGUUAAGUCCCGCAACGAGCGCAACCCUUGUCCUAUGUUGCCAGCGGGUUAUGCCGGGGACUCGUAGGAGACUGCCGGGGUCAACUCGGAGGAAGGUGGGGAUGACGUCAAGUCAUCAUGCCCCUUAUGUCCAGGGCUUCACACAUGCUACAAUGGCCGGUACAAAGGGCUGCGAUGCCGUGAGGUGGAGCGAAUCCUUUCAAAGCCGGUCUCAGUUCGGAUCGGGGUCUGCAACUCGACCCCGUGAAGUCGGAGUCGCUAGUAAUCGCAGAUCAGCAACGCUGCGGUGAAUACGUUCCCGGGCCUUGUACACACCGAGACGAC
rnacentral:rRNA from 1 species